AUACCAUGAUGUGGACACGUAACCAUCAGAACCUUGAACCUCUUCCACGUUUCUUGUAAUGUGUCUAUUGGUUUCUGUCUGAAGCUUAAUAUCUCAUCAAUUUGUUA
rnacentral:snoRNA from 1 species